AUUGAACGCUGGCGGCAGGCCUAACACAUGCAAGUCGAGCGGAUGAAGGGAGCUUGCUCCUGGAUUCAGCGGCGGACGGGUGAGUAAUGCCUAGGAAUCUGCCUGGUAGUGGGGGAUAACGUCCGGAAACGGGCGCUAAUACCGCAUACGUCCUGAGGGAGAAAGUGGGGGAUCUUCGGACCUCACGCUAUCAGAUGAGCCUAGGUCUGAUUAGCUAGGUGGUGGGGUAAAGGCCUACCAAGGCGACGAUCCGUAACUGGUAUGAGAGGAUGAUCAGUCACACUGGAACUGAGACACGGUCCAGACUCCUACGGUAGGCAGCAGUGGGGAAUAUUGGACAAUGGGCGAAUGCCUGAUCCAGCCAUGCCGCGUGUGUGAAGAAGGUCUUCUGAUUGUAGAGCACUUUAAGUAUGGAGGAAGGGCAGUAAGUUAAUACCUUGCUGUUUUGACGUUACCAACAGAAUAAGCACCGGCUAACUUCGUG
rnacentral:rRNA from 1 species